CCUACGGGGGGCUGCAGUGAGGAAUAUUGGUCAAUGGACGAGAGUCUGAACCAGCCAAGUAGCGUGAAGGAUGACUGCCCUAUGGGUUGUAAACUUCUUUUAUAAAGGAAUAAAACGAGCCACGUGUGCCUUUUUGCAUGUACUCUAUGAAUAAGGAUCGGCUCACUCCGUGCCAGCAGCCGCGGUAAUACGGAGGAUCCGAGCGUUAUCCGGAUUUAUUGGGUUUAAAGGGAGCGUAGUGGGGUUGUUAAGGCAGUUGUGAAAGUUUGCGGGUCAACCGUCAAAUUGCAAUUGAUACUGGCAGUCCUGAGUGCGGGUGAAGUAGGCGGAAUGCGUGGUGUAGCGGUGAAAUGCUUAGAUAUCACGAAGAACCCCGAUUGCGAAGGCAGCUUACUAACCUGUGACUGACAUUGAUGCUCGAAAGUGUGGGUAUCAAACAGGAUUAGAUACCCGUGUAGUC
rnacentral:rRNA from 1 species